rnacentral:lncRNA from 1 species
UUAAAACCAGAUAUUAUGGAUUUCGAUGUUAAUCUAAGGAUGGACUGGUUACACUAUUGUUACCUUCCUUUAAUUGUUAGACUAGGAAUGUUGUUUUUAGGUUCCCUAGUGAAAAGGAUGUAGAGUGAGAGAGUGGUUCCCUAGCUCCUAGGGGAAGGUUUAUUUCUUAUCUUCGUGCUUGAAGAUUAACCUCUAAAGGGCGU